rfam:Triticum aestivum genome assembly, contig: Triticum_aestivum_CS42_TGACv1_scaffold_576925_7BL
UAAAUACUCCCUCCGUCCCAAAAUUCUUGUCUUAGAUUUGUCUAGAUACGGAUGUAUCUAAUACUAAAACGUGACUUGAUAUAUCCGUGUUUAGACAAAUCUAAGACAAGAAUUUUGGGACGGAGGGAGUAUAAG